CCANNCAAGUAGCGUGAAGGAUGACUGCCCUAUGGGUUGUAAACUUCUUUUAUAAGGGAAUAAAGUGAGGGACGUGUCCCUUUUUGUAUGUACCUUAUGAAUAAGGAUCGGCUAACUCCGUGCCAGCAGCCGCGGUAAUACGGAGGAUCCAAGCGUUAUCCGGAUUUAUUGGGUUUAAAGGGAGCGUAGGUUGACAUAUAAGUCAGCUGUGAAAGUUUACGGCUCAACCGUGAAAUUGCAGUUGAUACUGUAUGUCUUGAGUGUACAAGAGGUGGGCGGAAUUCGUGGUGUAGCGGUGAAAUGCUUAGAUAUCACGAAGAACUCCAAUUGCGAAGGCAGCUCACUGGGGUACAACUGACACUGAGGCUCGAAAGUGUGGGUAUCAAACAGGAUUAGAUACCCUGGUAGUCCACACAGUAAACGAUGAAUACUCGCUGUUUGCGAUAUACAGUAAGCGGCCAAGCGAAAGCAUUAAGUAUUCCACCUGGGGAGUACGCCGGCAACGGUGAAACUCAAAGGAAUUGACGGGGGCCCGCACAAGCGGAGGAACAUGUGGUUUAAUUCGAUGAUACGCGAGGAACCUUACCCGGGCUUGAAUUGCAGAGGAACAUAGUUGAAAGAUUAUGGCCGCAAGGUCUCUGUGAAGGUGCUGCAUGGUUGUCGUCAGCUCGUGCCGUGAGGUGUCGGCUUAAGUGCCAUAACGAGCGCAACCCUUAUCAUUAGUUACUAACAGGUCAUGCUGAGGACUCUAGUGAGACUGCCGUCGUAAGAUGUGAGGAAGGUGGA
rnacentral:rRNA from 1 species